UACGUAGGGUGCGAGCGUUAAUCGGAAUUACUGGGCGUAAAGCGUGCGCAGGCGGUUUUGUAAGACAGGCGUGAAAUCCCCGGGCUCAACCUGGGAACUGCGUUUGUGACUGCAAGGCUAGAGUACGGCAGAGGGGGGUGGAAUUCCACGUGUAGCAGUGAAAUGCGUAGAGAUGUGGAGGAACACCAAUGGCGAAGGCAGCCCCCUGGGUCGAUACUGACGCUCAUGCACGAAAGCGUGGGUAGCAAACAGG
rnacentral:rRNA from 1 species